rnacentral:rRNA from 1 species
AGUGAACGCUGGCGGUAGGCCUAACACAUGCAAGUCGAACGGCAGCACAGUAAGAGCUUGCUCUUACGGGUGGCGAGUGGCGGACGGGUGAGGAAUACAUCGGAAUCUACUUUUUCGUGGGGGAUAACGUAGGGAAACUUACGCUAAUACCGCAUACGACCUACGGGUGAAAGCAGGGGAUCUUCUGACCUUGCGCGAUUGAAUGAGCCGAUGUCGGAUUAGCUAGUUGGCGGGGUAAAGGCCCACCAAGGCGACGAUCCGUAGCUGGUGUGGGAGGAUGAUCGGCCACACUGGAACUGAGACACGGUCCAGACUCCUGCGGGAGGCAGCAGUGGGGAAUAUUGGACAAAGGGCGCAAGCCUGAUCCAGCCAUACCGCGUGGGUGAAGAAGGCCUUCGGGUUGUAAAGCCCUUUUGUUGGGAAAGAAAAGCAGCAGGUUAAUACCCCGCUGUUCUGACGGUACCCAAAGAAUAAGCACCGGCUAACUUCGUG